AAAUAAUUAAUUGAAACAUGCUGCUGAAGAUCUUUUGCAUUAAUAAUUUUUAUCUCCUUCUGAGAAAUAUACAACAAAAGAUAAGGAGUGAUGCAUAACAAGAAAUAAGAUAUAUGACCAGCACUAAUUACCUGUCAUUUCAAUGGUGUCAUUAGGCGGGAUAGCUAUAAUGUUGUAGCAAGCAUCAAUUUGUUGUGCAACAAGAGGCCGGGUGGGUGCUGUGAACACAAUCUUGCCAAGAGGGUACCAGCGGUAGAAGUUAUACAUUAUGA